rnacentral:rRNA from 1 species
CAGCCGCCGCGGUAAUACAGAGGGUGCGAGCGUUAAUCGGAUUUACUGGGCGUAAAGCGUGCGUAGGCGGCUUUUUAAGUCGGAUGUGAAAUCCCUGAGCUUAACUUAGGAAUUGCAUUCGAUACUGGGAAGCUAGAGUAUGGGAGAGGAUGGUAGAAUUCCAGGUGUAGCGGUGAAAUGCGUAGAGAUCUGGAGGAAUACCGAUGGCGAAGGCAGCCAUCUGGCCUAAUACUGACGCUGAGGUACGAAAGCAUGGGGAGCAAACAGGAUUAGAGACCCCGGUAGUCCCUGUCUCUUAUAC